rnacentral:rRNA from 1 species
AUUGAACGCUGGCGGCAUGCCUUACACAUGCAAGUCGAACGGCAGCACGGGAGUAAUCCUGAUGGCGAGUGGCGAACGGGUGAGUAAUGUAUCGGAACGUGCCCAGUCGUGGGGGAUAACGCAGCGAAAGCUGUGCUAAUACCGCAUACGAUCUAUGGAUGAAAGCGGGGGAUCGCAAGACCUCGCGCGACUGGAGCGGCCGAUAUCAGAUUAGCUAGUUGGUGGGGUAAAGGCUCACCAAGGCGACGAUCUGUAGCUGGUCUGAGAGGACGACCAGCCACACUGGAACUGAGACACGGUCCAGACUCCUACGGGAGGCAGCAGUGGGGAAUUUUGGACAAUGGGCGCAAGCCUGAUCCAGCAAUGCCGCGUGAGUGAAGAAGGCCUUCGGGUUGUAAAGCUCUUUCGGCCGGGAAGAAAUCGCACGGGCUAAUACCCUGUGUGGAUGACGGUACCGGAAUAAGAAGCACCGGCUAACUACGUGCCAGCCGCCGCCGUAACAC